CGAUCUUCUGCGGCGGCAGCGUCUCUCUCUCCCGGCGCCCGCCACCCAGGCCCUCGACCCCGCCGCCACCGCCACCCGCGCUGCCGGCCAGCGACGCCCAGCCGAGCAAGACGCACGCGGAGAAAGACGCGCCAAAUCCUGGCGGGCACCCGACCUAUCCUGUCCUCUGGAGCAAGAUAAGGAAACAGGGACCCUGGACCCAGUGCAAGCGGCUGGAUAGCGGAUCCUGCUAGCCCGGGCUUUAGUCGCACCCCUCCUUCCGCAGCCCAGCGCCAGCACCCUCCCUCUGGGCUGCGCGAGUUCGCCCUGGAGUCGCGGCGUCGCCGGGUUCCCCGUGUCCCCACACACAGACCCUCUGCCAGCGCGCUGCAAGCAGGAAAGCGAAACUUGUUGCUCCGAAAGACAAGGGAACGGUUCGGCUUCUGGAGGUGGCAAAAGCUUGGGAAGCAUCUCCAAGGUGUCCUCGGGGCUUUGUUUGCUAAAUAAGGUGACUAAAUAAAGAGACUUUCUCCCCAAAUUGUUACCCCGAGAGUCCCCUGGGUGCAGGCUCAUGCUCCACUCCGACCCGAGCGCUUGGAAAUCCAACCGCUGCUCUUCUCGGGCGCGCGAGACACUGCUCUGGGUUCUGCAAUGCCGAAAAAGGUCCUGCCUUGGAGACCCAGUCCUGCCUCUGGUCACAGCCACAACAGCAGUGUAGACCAGGAUGGAAACGGCCGCGGAGAAGUCGGUGGCCGGGGGAGGCUCGCGGGCGUCCGCGGCGCCGCCGGGCAGGUCCGAAUGGGACUUGACCCUCUGAAUGCGGUGACACACCGAGGUCGUUUGCCAUGUGAACGUGCUACAUUGGACAGAAGAAUUCUGACACUUAAGUCCCGCAAAUUAAAAUAAAUUGAAAAUGUUUUAAAA